GAUGAACGCUGGCGGCGUGCCUAAUACAUGCAAGUCGAGCGAACGGACGAGAAGCUUGCUUCUCUGAUGUUAGCGGCGGACGGGUGAGUAACACGUGGAUAACCUACCUAUAAGACUGGGAUAACUUCGGGAAACCGGAGCUAAUACCGGAUAAUAUUUUGAACCGCAUGGUUCAAAAGUGAAAGACGGUCUUGCUGUCACUUAUAGAUGGAUCCGCGCUGCAUUAGCUAGUUGGUAAGGUAACGGCUUACCAAGGCAACGAUGCAUAGCCGACCUGAGAGGGUGAUCGGCCACACUGGAACUGAGACACGGUCCAGACUCCUACGGGAGGCAGCAGUAGGGAAUCUUCCGCAAUGGGCGAAAGCCUGACGGAGCAACGCCGCGUGAGUGAUGAAGGUCUUCGGAUCGUAAAACUCUGUUAUUAGGGAAGAACAUAUGUGUAAGUAACUGUGCACAUCUUGACGGUACCUAAUCAGAAAGCCACGGCUAACUACGUGCCAGCAGCCGCGGUAAUACGUAGGUGGCAAGCGUUAUCCGGAAUUAUUGGGCGUAAAGCGCGCGUAGGCGGUUUUUUAAGUCUGAUGUGAAAGCCCACGGCUCAACCGUGGAGGGUCAUUGGAAACUGGAAAACUUGAGUGCAGAAGAGAAAAAGUGGAAUUCCAUGUGUAGCGGUGAAAUGCGCAGAGAUAUGGAGGAACACCAGUGGCGAAGGCGACUUUCUGGUCUGUAACUGACGCUGAUGUGCGAAAGCGUGGGGAUCAAACAGGAUUAGAUACCCUGGUAGUCCACGCCGUAAACGAUGAGUGCUAAGUGUUAGGGGGUUUCCGCCCCUUAGUGCUGCAGCUAACGCAUUAAGCACUCCGCCUGGGGAGUACGACCGCAAGGUUGAAACUCAAAGGAAUUGACGGGGACCCGCACAAGCGGUGGAGCAUGUGGUUUAAUUCGAAGCAACGCGAAGAACCUUACCAAAUCUUGACAUCCUUUGACAACUCUAGAGAUAGAGCCUUCCCCUUCGGGGGACAAAGUGACAGGUGGUGCAUGGUUGUCGUCAGCUCGUGUCGUGAGAUGUUGGGUUAAGUCCCGCAACGAGCGCAACCCUUAAGCUUAGUUGCCAUCAUUAAGUUGGGCACUCUAAGUUGACUGCCGGUGACAAACCGGAGGAAGGUGGGGAUGACGUCAAAUCAUCAUGCCCCUUAUGAUUUGGGCUACACACGUGCUACAAUGGACAAUACAAAGGGCAGCGAAACCGCGAGGUCAAGCAAAUCCCAUAAAGUUGUUCUCAGUUCGGAUUGUAGUCUGCAACUCGACUACAUGAAGCUGGAAUCGCUAGUAAUCGUAGAUCAGCAUGCUACGGUGAAUACGUUCCCGGGUCU
rnacentral:rRNA from 1 species